rnacentral:lncRNA from 1 species
GCAGCUUACACUAUGGGGUGAACUGGGAGGCUCUGAGCCAUCCUAAAGUGGUGAUGUGUGCACCAACAGACAAUUUUAUUUCCAUGUGUUUGUAUACUUUUCAAACACAAGUAUCCUCUUGUCAUUGAUUUCUUUUUCUUUUUUCUUUUUUUUUUUUUUUUUUUGAGACGGAGUCUCGUUCUGUCCCCCAGGCUGGAGUGCAGUGGCAUGAUCUCGGCUCACUGCAACCUCCGCCUCCCAGGUUCAAGCAAUUCUCCUGCCUCGGCCUCCCGAGUAGCUGGGAUUACAGGCACCUGCCAUCACACCUGGCAAUUUUUUGUAUUUUCAGUAGAGACAGGGUUUUGCCAUGUUGGCCAGGUUGGUCUCAAACUCCUGACCUCAGGUGAUCCGCCUGCCUCAGCCUCCCAAAGUGCUGGGAUUACAGGCAUGAUUUCUAAUUUUAUUCCACUGUGGUCAGAAAAGAUACUUGAUCUGAUUCCUACUUUUUUGAAUUUAUCAAGACUUAUUUUGUGCCCUAAGCUAUGCUAAGCUGUGGUCUAUUCUGGAGAAUGUUUGUUCUGUGUGCCGAUGAAAACAAUCUGUAUUCUGCUGCAGUUGGGUGAAACAUUCUGUGAAAGUCAGUUAGGCCUGUUCCUUUUAUCUUGUUGCUUUUCUUCUCCUUCUUCUUUCUUUUUUAUUGUGGUAAAAAAUAACAUAAAAUUUACCUUCUUAAAUAUUUUUUUUUUUUUAGACGGAAUUUCGCCCUUAUUGCCCAGGCUGGUGUGCAGUGGCCUUAUCCCGGCUCACCGCAACCUCCACCUCCCAGGUUCAAGCGAUUCUCCUGCCUCAGCCUCACGAGUAGCUGGGAUUACAGGCAUGUGCCACCACGCCAAGCUAAUUUUGUAUUUCUAGUAGAGACGGGGGUUUCUCCAUGUUGAUCAGGCUGGUCUGGAACUCCUGACCUCAGGUGAUCUGCCCGCCUUGGUCUCCCAAAGUGUUGGGAUUAUAGGUGUGAGCCACCACGCCCGGCCUCUUAAACAUUUUUAAGUGUUCAGUUGAGUAGUGUUAAGUUCACUCACAUCGUUGCGCAAUAGAUCUCUAGAACCUUUUAAUCUUGCAACACUGAAACUCCAGACCUACUGAAUACUAAAUCACCCCAGCCCUUGGUAACCACCUUUCUACUUCCUAUUUCUAUGAUUCUCACUGAUUUCCAUACUUCAUAUGAAUAGAAUCAUAUGGUGUUUGUCAUUUUGUGACUAGCUUGUUUCUCAGCAUAAUGUCCUCGAGGUUCAACCAUGUUGUUGCAAGAAUUUCCUUCCUUUUUUCAAGGUUGCAUAAUGUUGUCUGUAUAUCCCACAAUUUCUUUAGCCUUUAUUCUUCUUGCCUCAUAUAAUGUGGUGACAUGUCAUGUCUUACCAAGUUCCAACCCUUUGACCCCACAUUCCCACUAUGUAGAAUAUAGUGCUUUUUUGUCCUUAGCUCUGUCCUUGAAGCUGAUCUCCAUCUUCAGAAGGUGGAGGGAAAGGAAACUAAGUGGAUGAAAGAGGAAGGGAAAGACUGCGUACCUCAUCCACUGAUAAUUUUUGACACCUCACAUUAAAACCUGGAUUGCCAUUUUCUGUUUGUUGGUAAUUGUAUGCUAUACUUUUGAUUAAAGUUUUAUUUUAAUGUA